CUGUGAGAUUACAUAUGCAUAUAGUGUUAAUGCUAUAAGAGUGUAGUAUCAACUCACAAAGUUAUCAGGUUAAAUAGCUUUAUCAACUAAUAAAAAUGUUAUUGCAUAACUAAUGUUAUACUGUAGUCCCGCCACGAUAUCCAGCGAAAAUUAUUUUGCUGAGUAUCGUAGUAAAAGUUAAGAUAUGAUGUUAAGAAUUUUUUUGAGUCGUACAACAACAUUAACAGCAAACUAUAAUACAAAUCUAUCUUUUUAAAAGUUUGUAUUGC
rnacentral:misc_RNA from 1 species